rnacentral:rRNA from 1 species
UCGAGGAUCUUCUGCAAUGGGCGCAAGCCUGACAGAGCGACGCCGCGUGGGGGAGGAAGGCCUUCGGGUUGUAAACCCCUGUUGCCGGUUAAGAAUCGCAGGGUGCAAAUAGCGCUACUGCGUGACAAAGGCCGGUGAGGAAGCCACGGCUAACUACGUGCCAGCAGCCGCGGUAAGACGUAGGUGGCAAGCGUUGUUCGGAAUCACUGGGCAUAAAGCGCGCGUAGGCGGCUGGGUCAGUCAGGUGUGAAAUACCUCGGCUCAACUGAGGAACUGCGCCUGAUACUGCCUGGCUUGAGGUCCGGAGGGGAGAGUGGAAUUCCCGGUGGAGCGGUGAAAUGCGUAGAGAUCGGGAAGAACGCCGGCGGCGAAAGCGACUCUCUGGUCGGCACCUGACGCUGAGGCGCGAAAGCUAGGGGAGCAAACGGG